rnacentral:rRNA from 1 species
AUACCCUAUUAUUUUUAUUGUAAAAUUUUAAACCUGAGUAUUAGUAGUUAAGGUCUUGAAACUUAAAGAAUUUGGCGGUAUUAUAGUCUAUUUAGAGGAAUCUGUUAUGUAAUCGAUAGUCCACGUUGAACCUUACUUAUAUUAUUUCUUGUAUACCGCUGUUUGAGAAUAUACUUUUAGGUAAUUUUCUUAAUAUAAAAUUAAUUAAAAUUUCAGGUCAAGGUGCAGUGAUAUGUAAGUUGAAUAAUGGAUUACAAUAAAUUUUAUUUAUUAUGAAUUGUUAUUGAAAUAUAAUUUGAAGGUGGAUUUAAUUGUAAUUUUAUAAAGAUUAUUAAAAUGAUUUAUAGCUCUAUAAUAUGUACACAUCGCCC